GUGCAGCAGGCGCGAAAACUUUACAAUGCCGGCAACGGCGAUAAGGGGACCUCGAGUGCCAGGUUACAAAUCUCGCUGUCGUGAUGCCUAAAAAGCAUUGCAUAGCAAGGGCCGGGCAAGACCGGUGCCAGCCGCCGCGGUAACACCGGCGGCUCGAGUGGUAACCGUUAUUAUUGGGUCUAAAGGGUCUGUAGCCGGCCGGAUAAGUCUCUUGAGAAAUCCAGCAGCUCAACUGUUGGGCUUUCAGGAGAUACUGUUCGGCUCGAGGCCGGGAGAGGUGAGAGGUACUUCAGGGGUAGGGGUGAAAUCUUGUAAUCCUUGAAGGACCACCAGUGGCGAAGGCGUCUCACCAGAACGGACCUGACGGCAAGGGACGAAAGCUAGGGGCACGAACCGGAUUAGAUACCCGGGUAGUCC
rnacentral:rRNA from 1 species